UGGGGAAUUUUGGACAAUGGGCGCAAGCCUGAUCCAGCAAUGCCGCGUGCAGGAUGAAGGCCUUCGGGUUGUAAACUGCUUUUGUACGGAGCGAAAAGGUCUGCCCUAAUACGGUGGGCUCAUGACGGUACCGUAAGAAUAAGCACCGGCUAACUACGUGCCAGCAGCCGCGGUAAUACGUAGGGUGCAAGCGUUAAUCGGAAUUACUGGGCGUAAAGCGUGCGCAGGCGGUUAUGCAAGACAGAGGUGAAAUCCCCGGGCUCAAGCGGGGAACUGCCUUUGUGACUGCAUAACUAGAGUAUGGCAGAGGGGGGUGGAAUUCAACGUGUAGCAGUGAAAUGCGUAGAGAUGUGGAGGAACACCGAUGGCGAAGGCAGACCCCUGAGCCAAUACUGAAGCUCAUGCACGAAAGCGUGGGGAGCAAACA
rnacentral:rRNA from 1 species